AGCCGAAAGCUUUAUCGACC
rnacentral:snRNA from 1 species